rnacentral:tRNA from 1 species
ACUGGGUUGGCCGAGUGGUUAAGGCGUUGGACUUAAGUUCCAAUGGACAAGUGUCCGCGUGGGUUCGAACCCCCACCCAGUA